UACGUAGGGGGCAAGCGUUGUCCGGAAUCAUUGGGCGUAAAGCGCGUGUAGGCGGCCCGGUAAGUCCGCUGUGAAAGUCGGGGGCUCAACCCUCGAAAGCCGGUGGAUACUGUCGGACUAGAGUGCGGAAGAGGCGAGUGGAAUUCCUGGUGUAGCGGUGAAAUGCGCAGAUAUCAGGAGGAACACCAAUUGCGAAGGCAGCUCGCUGGGACGUUACUGACGCUGAGACGCGAAAGCGUGGGGGGAGCAAACAGG
rnacentral:rRNA from 1 species